GUGGACAGACUGAUGACCAUAAAAAAAUUAGAAAACCAAGAUGACUCACUCGAACAAGGAUUUCCCUAACAACUUCCCAUCUAGCCAAGUAGAAGGUUCUGACAUCGACAAUCGACCCCGAGGGAUAGAUCUUUUUCUUGGCUAGUUUGCUGAUUGGCCAAAAAACUUAAGCAACUUAGGCCAGGGAGGUUCUUUUAAUUCCUUUUAUCUUAAUGCCGCUUCUAGUUAAGGGCCACUCUUUCCC
rnacentral:lncRNA from 1 species